AGGAUUGGGUCUAUCCCAGAACUAAAGAAGGUACCCUCUGGCAUCCACGACCUCCAAAAACUCAAAACUCUUGCGUUUAUUAAUAUGCUGAAAAAAUUCUUAGAUAGAAUGCAACCCCAACCCAACCAAGGCAAAGACUAUUGGAUUGUUGAGCAUAUACCUAAUGUCCUGUUCUGGUCUCGGUGGGGCUUUUCUGGAUAUUAGAACAGCGGCACUCUUCAAAAAUAUUUUGAGAGGAAGGUGAAAAACCAAAGGGUUACUGAAGCUGAAUAAUGAAUCUUACGGUUACGGAUGCAAAUUCAAUUCCAGGUCAAUCACCGGCAACACAUACAGUUGAAGGGAAAUCAAUGGCAGAGGCACCCAGAAUUCAAGUACUCCAAGCUGCCAAUAACCUUAUGAUUGAACAAACCCCUUUUAUCACCGUUGAUUUUUAUUUCCUUUGGAUUGCAAAGUAAAAAGUGUGACAUCUCUGUCAAGAUGGACAUGUUUAUUACUGUUUUUAUUGUUUUUUGCCAAGGCAGUGUUUUGGAUUUCUGUUAUCAAGACUUAUUUCGUGAUAACCACAAUUGUGUAACUUUAAUUGAGACAAACAUAUGAUCAUACAUUCCUUCUUGUUGUA